GUUAAAGCAUUGAUGAGGAUAAGUAAUCUUUUGAGCAGACAUUUACAGAGAGCCGGGUAGCUGGAAGCCGGUAAUGUCCAAAAGGUGAACUCACCUCUGAGUUUCAGCCCGAAAGUGUACGAGUAAGGCUGAACGGGUGCCAACCAGCACCCGUUAUCAAAAUACAGUACAGAGUGAAAUCUGUUUAGAGUGCGCACGUAUUUUGUGCGAAUUAGGGUGGUACCGUGGAUAGGAUAUAUAGCCUCUUCACCCCUUUA
rnacentral:ncRNA from 1 species